rnacentral:rRNA from 1 species
GAUGAACGCUGGCGGCGUGCUUAACACAUGCAAGUCGAACGAAGCUGCUAAAAGGAAGUCUUCGGACGGAAUUUAGGUAGACUUAGUGGCGGACGGGUGAGUAACGCGUGGAUAACCUGCCUUAUACAGGGGGAUAACGGAGAGAAAUUUCCGCUAAGACCGCAUAAGACCACAGCACCGCAUGGUGCAGGGGUAAAAUAUUUAUAGGUAUAAGAUGGAUCCGCGUCCGAUUAGCUAGUUGGUGAGGUAAAGGCCCACCAAGGCGACGAUCGGUAGCCGGCCUGAGAGGGUGAACGGCCACAUUGGGACUGAGACACGGCCCAAACUCCUACGGGAGGCAGCAGUGGGGAAUAUUGGACAAUGGGGGAAACCCUGAUCCAGCGACGCCGCGUGAGUGAAGAAGUAUUUCGGUAUGUAAAGCUCUAUCAGCAGGGAAGAAAAUGACGGUACCUGACUAAGAAGCCCCGGCUAACUACGUGCCAGCAGCCGCGGUAAUACGUAGGGGGCAAGCGUUAUCCGGAUUUACUGGGUGUAAAGGGAGCGCAGACGGCAAUGCAAGUCUGAAGUGAAAGGCGUGGGCUCAACCCAUGAACUGCUUUGGAAACUGUAUAGCUUGAGUGUCGGAGGGGUAAGCGGAAUUCCUAGUGUAGCGGUGAAAUGCGUAGAUAUUAGGAGGAACACCGGAGGCGAAGGCGGCUUACUGGACGACAACUGACGUUGAGGCUCGAAGGCGUGGGGAGCAAACAGG